rnacentral:sRNA from 1 species
GAGCGCCCAGCACGCCAAGCUGGUGAGUGGGGUUCCCGGGACGGCGCCCGCCCUGGCCCGGCCACGUCUCACGGUCCCUCUCCCCUCAGUCGCUGGACGGGCAGAACAUCUACAACGCCUGCUGCACGCUGCGCAUCGACUUUUCCAAGCUCACCAGCCUCAACGUCAAGUACAACAAUGACAAGAGCCGCGACUACACACGCCCAGACCUGCCUUCCGGGGACAGCCAGCCCUCGCUGGACCAGACCAUGGCCGCGGCCUUCGGUGCACCUGGUAUAAUCUCAGCCUCUCCGUAUGCAGGAGCUGGUUUCCCUCCCACCUUUGCCAUUCCUCAAGCUGCAGGUAUUCAAACGCUUGGUCUUGGUUCCCCAGCGACUGCAUGCCCACACCACCUUCCCAGGCAGCUCCGCAUCCACGGCGGCAGCCUGGGCGGACUGGGCACUCGAGUGCCAGGUCAGGGGCCCUUCCCGGGAGAGGGGACGCCACGUCCACAGAGCAGGCUUGGCCAGGGCAGUGGUAGGACAGGGCUGUGGAGGCCCACGUGUGGACGGCGCCAGCCAGAAGCCGCUAAUCGCACAGUCUUUGUGGUCUGGUUCCCUUCAAGCACCUCCGGGCGAGCGCGAGGACCGCCAGUGGUUGGAGGGAUGUCUCUAGUAGUUGAAUUUGAGUGGCCUGGUAAGCGCGCGGCCCGAGGCUGAGCAGCAUGACCGGCGGCGGGACGUGUGUGCGUGGCCGUCCUCCCGCUUCCCUUCUGGGACCGGGACCCGGCCGCCCCAGUGCUGGCCGUGGACGGAGCAGCGCGUGCCGCC